rnacentral:rRNA from 1 species
AGUGAACGCUGGCGGUAGGCCUAACACAUGCAAGUCGAACGGCAGCACAGUAAGAGCUUGCUCUUACGGGUGGCGAGUGGCGGACGGGUGAGGAAUACAUCGGAAUCUACUUUUUCGUGGGGGGUAACGUAGGGAAACUUACGCUAAUACCGCAUACGACCUACGGGUGAAAGCAGGGGAUCUUCGGACCUUGCGCGAUUGAAUGAGCCGAUGUCGGAUUAGCUAGUUGGCGGGGUAAAGGCCCACCAAGGCGACGAUCCGUAGCUGGUCUGAGAGGAUGAACACCCACACUGGAACUGAGACACGGUCCAGACUCCUACGGGAGGCAGCAGUGGGGAAUAUUGGACAAUGGGCGCAAGCCUGAUCCAGCCAUACCGCGUGGGUGAAGAAGGCCUUCGGGUUGUAAAGCCCUUUUGUUGGGAAAGAAAAGCAGCAGGUUAAUACCCCGCUGUUCUGACGGUACCCAAAGAAUAAGCACCGGCUAACUUCGUG